GUCUUAAGAUUGCAUAAGUCUUCAACACAUUUUCCUCAUCUGAUGAAGUGGAUGAAAUGGUGUAUUUGUAAACAGCAGUAAAUACAGUUGUGCUGAAAUUACUAAUAUUUAACAUUGAAUAAGAAACAUCUUACAAAGCCUUUUCCUAAAUACCUUCCAUUUUUCAUAGAACUCAGCACCUGAAAAUGGACUGCAAAAACUGAGCCUGUUGAUGAUAACUGAUACAGUUUCUCCCCCCAGUUUUCAAUUUUCCUCUCAAGGACCUCCUCAUACAACUCAUCAUUGAUGUUGAGAACGACGGACAGCAUCGUUGCCACUGCAUCCUCUAAUUAUCUGUUCACAAUGGCCUGGAUUGCUCCGGAGUUUGCUGUGGACAAGUAUGUUGGACAGCUACCUAUCCCUGGUGUUGAAGAGUGGGUAACUGCCCUCAGUUGACUUCAUUUUCUAUCUCGUCUCACUUUGGUGAAAACUGCCUCCCUUCUCCAAGGUGGUGCUAGAUCCUCAGUUCCCAGGUACCACACCAGAAAUGCGAAAGGACCACUUCAGUAAGAGAGCAUAGUAAAUAUUUAAUGCAAACAGGACAUUCUUCAAAAUUAAAAUUCUUCAUUAAUACCGUAUCCGUCUUUCCUGCGAGCCUAGAUGUCUUCAUCUCACCUGUGGACGACAUAGAAGAGCAGAAUGGUUCAAUCCAGGAAAGAAAAAAAUCACAAGGCACCAACAGAGCUUGGUGAAAAAUGUGGAUACCUUUACAGAGAAAAUGCAUCAUGUCUCACGUGAGUCACAGACA
rnacentral:lncRNA from 1 species